CACGUAGGGCGCAAGCGUUGUCCGGAAUUAUUGGGCGUAAAGAGCUCGUAGGCGGUUUGUCGCGUCUGCCGUGAAAGUCCGGGGCUCAACUCCGGAUCUGCGGUGGGUACGGGCAGACUAGAGUGAUGUAGGGGAGACUGGAAUUCCUGGUGUAGCGGUGAAAUGCGCAGAUAUCAGGAGGAACACCGAUGGCGAAGGCAGGUCUCUGGGCAUUAACUGACGCUGAGGAGCGAAAGCAUGGGGGAGCGAACAGG
rnacentral:rRNA from 1 species